AUGCUUAUAAAACCCAUCCUCACAAACUCAACAUUCCAUUCUGCCGCCACUAUAAUUCAUUCUCCGAUAACCACACCUCCUUCCACUUCACCAGCUGGGGUUUUGUUUUCUCACCUUUUCACUCUAAAACCUUCUUUCACUAUUCCCCAGAUCUUCAUCUAUCUUAAACCCUGCUUUUUCCGCAGGGGUUUUUUGUUCUUUAAACAAGCAUUUUUGUUGCUUACACGGAGUAUAUGUUCUGGUUGA